GCGAACAUAUCAUCACUAAUGCAUUGGAUCCCAUCAGAACUCCGCAGUUAAGCAUGCUUGGGCAAGAGUAGUACUAGGAUAAGUCACUUCCUAGGAAGUUCUUGUUUUACACUCU